rnacentral:snRNA from 1 species
GCUUUCGGUAGAUCUUGAAAGA